AGAAUCAACGCUGGCGGCGUGCCUAACACAUGCAAGUCGCACGAGAAAGGGGAGCAAUCCCUGAGUACAGUGGCGCACGGGUGAGUAACACGUGAAUCAUCUACCUCCGAGUGGGGAAUAACUGAGAGAAAUCUUAGCUAAUACCGCAUAACACUUACGAGUCAAAGCAGCAAUGCGCUUGGAGAGGAGUUCGCGGCAGAUUAGUUAGUUGGCGGGGUAAUGGCCCACCAAGACGAUGAUCUGUAUCCGGCCUGAGAGGGCGCACGGACACACUGGAACUGAAACACGGUCCAGACUCCUACGGGAGGCAGCAGUGGGGAAUUUUGCGCAAUGGGGAAACCCUGACGCAGCAACGCCGCGUGGAGGAUGAAGCCCUUGGGUGUAAACUCCUUUCGAUCGGGAAGAUAAUGACGGUACCGAUAUAAGAAGCCCGGACUAACUUCGUGCCAGCAGCCGCGGUAA
rnacentral:rRNA from 1 species